rnacentral:rRNA from 1 species
GCUCAGAGUAUAAGCCAAUGGAGCUUGGAAGGCUUUCGCAGAAAACGUGUUCACCCUUCGGGGUGUUCUUAGACCUAUGAGUAUGGCUCGUCAGGCGUAGCAUUGAGUUUGCCAGGUUUAGCUGUCGUGCGGGGGAUUGGCUUUGGGGGGGGUAGGCUUCGGCCUGCAGUGCUCCCAACCAUCCUUUUUGAAUGGACGUUCAGAGCUCUUGUGUCUUAUGCGAUAAUGCCCACCACAGCACGUUGUGAGGUCACCCACAGGCUCAAACUGCCGAUCGCGCAUCCAGGACGAUGGCAACGAUGCGUUGUCGAGUGAGCAAUCACUCACACGCGUGUCUAGUCCUGGGUCGGGCGGCGACCGAGAUAAACCUGGUAUGAUCCUCUUGCGACGAGCUGCUUUCUGGCCAGACCGACGCCCGGACCCCUCCACUGUGCCGGAGGGGUCAACCCCAGGCGGUGUGAACCCAGCUGCAUUAUGCAAGGUCUCUCAGCCGGGAGUCGGUCUGAGUGGUGUCAAGUCCAGCACCAUCGGUCACGUCUCGAAACACGGGCCAAGGAGUAUAGCAUGUGUGCAAGUCUAAGGGUCUCACAAAACCCGAAGGCGAAGUGAAAGCAAGGCUGUGGCGGGGGAGCUACGGCAAACCUGCCGGCUGGAUGACGCUUGCGUUGUCCAGCUUUAAGCAGAGCUGAUCCUGUUUUCUCGGUUAAUUCUUGGUGCAGGCGCAAGCUCCGGGCUCACGUACAACACUGGUCACGCCUUGCG